rnacentral:rRNA from 1 species
AUAAUUUAAAGUCUAACCUGCCCAAUGAUGAAAGUUUAAUGGCCGCAGUAUACUAACUGUGCAAAGGUAGCAUAAUCAAUAGUUUUUUAAUUGAAAGCUGGAAUGAAAGGUUGAAUGAGAAAAUUACUGUCUCUAUUUAAAUUUAUUAGAAUUUUAUUUUUAAGUAAAAAAGCUUAAAUAUAUAUAAAAGACGAGAAGACCCUAUAGAGUUUAAUAUUUUUUGCAGGGUAAAAGUUUAGGAUUUUAUUUUUUGUUUUUCAAGAAAUAUUUAAUUGGGGUGAUUAAAAAAUUAAACAAACUUUUUUUUUAUUUUUACAUUAAUUUAUGAAUAUUUGAUCCUUGAAUAAAGAUUAUAAGAUUAAAUUACCUUAGGGAUAACAGCGUAAUUUUUUUUGAGAGUUCUAAUCGAAAAAAAAGAUUGCGACCUCGAUGUUGGAUUAAAAUUAAUUUUUGGUGUAGAAGCUAAAUAGAUUAGGUCUGUUCGACCUUUAAUAUUUUACAUGAUCUG